AAGAAGAAGAAGAAGAAGAAGAAGAAGAAGAAAACAUACCUGACUCAUCGACAGAUUGGACACCUACAAACCGUCACACGAUAAUAAAAACAGAUCUCGGGGUGUUAUCUUUCACAGGACAAGGACAGUCUUAAGGAAAGCUGAGGAAAGCUGUUCUCAGAGACGAGACUAUUCCUCCACAGACUAGUGUUGUGUUUGUACUAAACCCAGAGCAGCCCUGAAUGAAUCGAAAGAAUGACCAGCUCAUAUUCUAAAGCCAUUAAUCGUUUGAAAGCAUUAAUUUAUACCAGAAAACAAGACAGAAAUACUACGGAAGAAAAUCAUUUAUCACUUAAUCGUUUGAUUCUGAUUCAUUCAGACAUUUCUAAUAAUGUUGAUAUAAAUGCUAAUACUGCACUGAUGUUUAUAAUAAAAGAAGACAUAAUCAUUCAUAAACUUUUGAACCCAGCAAAGAAAUAAUGGAUGUUGCAUUAAGUCAUUUAUUUUCUCAUUACACACAGUCAAGUAUAUUACAGAUCUCUUCAUACUCUAUAUAAAAUUAGAUUCGUUGGCGUAUAUAUUCAGAUUUGAGAGGUUAAAGGGCAGAGAGCAUGAUCACUAUACAGCGGAUUCCUCACUGCUUCCUCACAUCAGCAAUAAUCUGGGGAAGAAACAAUGAUUACACUCUGUAUUCCAGUGCUAAUAUAUGAACAUCAUCAAACCAAGACAUCUGCAGGAGAUGCAUAAUGACCUCAGAUAUUAAUUUUUAUUAUCUACUCAAUAUAUUUAUUUUUAGAUUUUUAUUGGUUAAUUCUUAAAAGGGGGGAAAAAAAUCUGCCAAAGGUGAAAACUAUUGUUUUUCUCAGCCGCUGACAGAUAUUUGUUCUUGUUUUAAUCAUGAACUCAUUUAUAUUUCAGUAAAUGCUUCUCGAUUUAAGGAUGUUCAGAUAUUUGAGCUGGAAAACAAGAGGAAGAGCAUCAUUCUCUGCGGUGAAGAAGAACACCAUGACCUUCAUCAAAUUAAAAUCUCUCGUGUUUGUGUCCGAGUCGAACGGUGGCAGGUAAAAGAAAAGAGUAAAAAAUAAACCCUGGACAAUCUUCCUAAAA